rnacentral:rRNA from 1 species
UACGGAGGGAGCUAGCGUUGUUCGGAAUUACUGGGCGUAAAGCGCACGUAGGCGGCUAUUCAAGUCGGGGGUGAAAGCCCGGGGCUCAACCCCGGAACAGCCCUCGAAACUAGAUAGCUAGAAUCUUAGAGAGGCGAGUGGAAUUCCGAGUGUAGAGGUGAAAUUCGUAGAUAUUCGGAAGAACACCAGUGGCGAAGGCGACUCGCUGGACAAGUAUUGACGCUGAGGUGCGAAAGCGUGGGGAGCAAACAGG